AUGCAAAUGAACACUGGGAAGAAGGGAAUGAUAACAGUCUGGAGCCGUGUCUUCAACACUGUGAUUGACAGACUCAACAGGCACAUCUGGUGCAGGUAUGCUCUCACAGUGGAACAAACUGAGUGUGAACCCGCCUUUUGCCCACAUGGUGAAGGUGGUGGUGCACACCUCUUCUCGUGCUGCCUGGAGUGGACAGCGGAGGAAGAGCCAAGGUUUGUGCCAAUGAGUUACUUGAGCAAAAGCUCUGGGGUUCAUUUUUUCUCAAAGUUUGGAGGUGUGACAUUUUGUGUUUGUGGCUCGGUUGGUUGGUUGGUUGGUUUGGUUUGUUCAUUUGUUUUUUGGGAAAAAAAAAAAAAGACUAUCUUCAUGUAGGAAAGCUAAUUUUAGUUUUUUUUUUUCCAGACUCCAGGUGAUCUGGACGUAAAUCAAAAAAUGUUGUUCAGGAUCCAAGCUGAAUAGUUCGGGUUUUAAUACAAUAUUUCAGUGUGAAACCAAAACAAAUGUUAAACCUUGGAAGCUGUAUAAAAUUGAAUUGUCAUUAUCUAGUCAGUUUUUGUUUUAAGCACCUUGAAUUGUAGUGAAGACAAUAAGAAAUGAAAAUGCUCAACUAUUUCAGGAUUCAGCCUAUAGCAGUGUAGGACACACUCAGCACAGGCUGUUGAUUGUAGCCAUCCUUCACGGCAGUCAUUCAUUAUAUAAUUUCAAAGGUAACUUAAACAUGUGCCAGAAACUUUGGAGAGACUAGUCCUUGGUGAAAUGGGCUCUGGACCAAAUCUUUACUUUAAUGAUAAUGCUUUAGAAUAAAAUAUUUUUUGGUUCAGAACA
rnacentral:lncRNA from 1 species